UAGAAUCCGUCAAUUUUUAAGAGUUUGAUCCUGGCUCAGGAUUAACGCUGGCGGCAUGCCUAAUACAUGCAAAUCGAACGAAGCCUUUUUGGCUUAGUGGUGAACGGGUGAGUAACACGUAUCCAAUCUACCCUUAAGUUUGGGAUAACUAGUCGAAAGAUUAGCUAAUACCGGAUAAUAACAUUUACUUGCAUGAGUGAAUGUAGAAAGUUGCGUUUGCAACGCUUUUGGAUGAGGGUGCGACGUAUCAGAUAGUUGGUGAGGUAACGGCUCACCAAGUCAUUGACGCGUAGCUGUACUGAGAGGUAGAACAGCCACAAUGGGACUGAGACACGGCCCAUACUCCUACGGGAGGCAGCAGUAGGGAAUUUUUCACAAUGGGCGAAAGCCUUAUGAAGCAAUGCCGCGUGAACGAUGAAGGUCUAUAAGAUUGUAAAGUUCUUUUAUUUGGGAAGAACCACUAAAAUAGGAAAUGAUUUUAGUUUGACUGUACCAUUUGAAUAAGUAUCGGCUAACUAUGUGCCAGCAGCCGCGGUAAUACAUAGGAUGCAAGCGUUAUCCGGAUUUACUGGGCGUAAAACGAGCGCAGGCGGAUUUGUAAGUUUGGUAUGAAAUCUAGAUGCUUAACGUCUAGCUGUAUCAAAAACUACGAAUCUAGAGUGUAGCAGAGAGUUGGGGAACUCCAUGUGGAGCGGUAAAAUGCGUAGAUAUAUGGAAGAACACCGGUGGCGAAGGCGCCAACUUGGACUAUUACUGACGCUUAGGCUCGAAAGUGUGGGGAGCAAAUAGGAUUAGAUACCCUAGUAGUCCACACCGUAAACGAUCAUCAUUAAAUGUCGGCUCGAUUAUGAGUCGGUGUUGUAGCUAACGCAUUAAAUGAUGUGCCUGGGUAGUACAUUCGCAAGAAUGAAACUCAAACGGAAUUGACGGGGACCCGCACAAGUGGUGGAGCAUGUUGCUUAAUUUGACAAUACACGUAGAACCUUACCUAGGUUUGACAUCUAUUGCAAUGCUAUAGAAAUAUAGCGGAGGUUAACAAUAUGACAGGUGGUGCAUGGUUGUCGUCAGCUCGUGUCGUGAGAUGUUGGGUUAAGUCCCGCAACGAGCGCAACCCCUUUCGCUAGUUAAUUUAUCUAUCGAUACUGCUACCGCAAGGUAGAGGAAGGUGGGGAUGACGUCAAAUCAUCAUGCCCCUUAUAUCUAGGGCUGCAAACGUGCUACAAUGGCUAAUACAAACAGCUGCAAUUCCGCAAGGUUGAGCGAAUCUGAUAAAGUUAGUCUCAGUUCGGAUAGAGGGCUGCAAUUCGCCCUCUUGAAGUUGGAAUCACUAGUAAUCGCGAAUCAGACAUGUCGCGGUGAAUACGUUCUCGGGUCUUGUACACACCGCCCGUCAAACUAUGGGAGCCGGUAAUAUCUGAAACCGUACUGUUAACCUUUUUGGAGGCAUACGUCUAGGGUAGGAUUGGUGACUGGAGUUAAGUCGUAACAAGGUAUCCCUACGAGAACGUGGGGAUGGAUCACCUCCUUUCUUCGGAGUAAAUUUUAAAUUUAC
rnacentral:rRNA from 1 species